rnacentral:rRNA from 1 species
UACGGGGGGCAAGCGUUGUUCGGAAUUACUGGGCGUAAAGGGCUCGUAGGUGGCCAACUAAGUCAGACGUGAAAUCCCUCGGCUUAACCGGGGAACUGCGUCUGAUACUGGAUGGCUUGAGGUUGGGAGAGGGAUGCGGAAUUCCAGGUGUAGCGGUGAAAUGCGUAGAUAUCUGGAGGAACACCGGUGGCAGAAGGCGGCAUCCUGGACCAAUUCUGACGCUGAGGAGCGAAAGCCAGGGGAGCAAACGGGG